AUACUUGCCUGGCAGGGGCGAUUCCAUGGUCAGGAAGGUGACUUCCCCAGGGUGAGGCUCACGCACUGCACUCCCAGCGUACUGACCUCUACGAUUUCUCCAAAUAUGGGAAAUUCGACUGCACAAUUUGUGAUAGUGGGGGACUACAUUCGUGCUCUCCCCUG